CACACCUUUGUGUGUGUUCUGGUCGUACAAAACACAGGAGCCAAGAAGGGCUCUCAAGCUCAAACCCUAACAAGCAUAAAAUCAACAAAUUGAAGGGGGGUAAAUCCAACCUAAAUCGAAAUACAAGCACGAAUUCAUGAUCACCUCGAUGAAGGGAUCAUAAGUUUGACUCUUGACAAGCUAGAUGGAGGCUUGGGGAAAGAAGCGGGUCAAACGGAUCGUAUACGCGGAAAAGAGCAUAAUCCGGAUACUAGGUGAAGAUGGACCUAAUCCGGAUGAAGAUCAAGCGGCAAGCAAGAACCGAACACACGUUAAAUGAAGCUUCCGCGUCAAA